UACGUAGGGGGCGAGCGUUGUCCGGAAUGACUGGGCGUAAAGGGCGCGUAGGCGGCUAAAUAAGUUAGGAGUGAAAUUCCAGUUUUCAAGGCUGGAACUGCUUUUAAUACUGUAUAGCUUGAGUGCAGAAGAGGUAAGCGGAAUUCCCAGUGUAGCGGUGAAAUGCGUAGAGAUUGGGAAGAACACCAGUGGCGAAGGCGGCUUACUGGGCUGUAACUGACGCUGAGGCGCGAAAGCGUGGGGAG
rnacentral:rRNA from 1 species